rnacentral:rRNA from 1 species
GCUACACAUGCAAGUCGAACGGACCUUCGGGUUAGUGGCGAACGGGUGAGUAACACGUGGGUGAUCUGCCCUGCACUUUGGGAUAAGCCUGGGAAACUGGGUCUAAUACCGGAUAGGACUACGCACUGCAUGGUGUGUGGUGGAAAGCUUUUGCGGUGUGGGAUGGGCCCGCGGCCUAUCAGCUUGUUGGUGGGGUGAUGGCCUACCAAGGCGACGACGGGUAGCCGGCCUGAGAGGGUGACCGGCCACACUGGGACUGAGAUACGGCCCAGACUCCUACGGGAGGCAGCAGUGGGGAAUAUUGCACAAUGGGCGCAAGCCUGAUGCAGCGACGCCGCGUGAGGGAUGACGGCCUUCGGGUUGUAAACCUCUUUCGCCAGGGACGAAGCGCAAGUGACGGUACCUGGAGAAGAAGGACCGGCCAACUACGUGCCAGCAGCCGCGGUAAUACGUAGGGUCCGAGCGUUGUCCGGAAUUACUGGGCGUAAAGAGCUCGUAGGUGGUUUGUCGCGUUGUUCGUGAAAACUCACAGCUUAACUGUGGGCGUGCGGUCGAUACGGGCAGACUGUAGUACUGCGGGGGAGACUGGAAUUCCUGGUG